rnacentral:lncRNA from 1 species
UCAGUGUUUGUAAUAAAGAAAAGCGCAACAAAACGAUAAGGUUCAUGGUGCUGAAGCGAAAAGGUUGAUGUAAAAAUGCAUGCUUAUUUGAAAUGGGCGCACAAUUUGCUGAAAAUUCAAAAACACCAAAAGCGAAUGAACUUGGUGCUACAAUAGUAAACUUGCAAUCGAGGGUUUCAAUGUUCAAGCAGCAUCAGAGCUUAUCGCUGAGAAUCU